CCCUUAGAUGUUCUGGGCCGCACGCGCGCUACACUGAUGCAUUCAACGAGUUUUGUUUGUUCCUUGGCCGAGAGGCCUGGGCAAUCUUUUGAACUUGCAUCGUGAUAGGGAUAGAUUAUUGCAAUUAUUAAUCUUGAACGAGGAAUUCCUAGUAAACGCAGAUCAUCAAUCUGCAUUGAUUACGUCCCUGCCCUUUGCACACACCGCCCGUCGCUCCUACCGAUUGAGUGGUCCGGUGAGGCUUUGGGAUCUGAGCGGAAAGAGCGUUUCGCUGUUUCUGCUCGGAAAACUCAGUCGAACCUUAUCAUUUAGAGGAAGGAGAAGUCGUAACA
rnacentral:rRNA from 1 species